rnacentral:rRNA from 1 species
UACAGAGGUCUCAAGCGUUGUUCGGAUUCAUUGGGCGUAAAGGGUGCGUAGGCGGCGCGGUAAGUCGGGUGUGAAAUCUCGGAGCUUAACUCCGAAAACUGCAUUCGAUACUGCCGUGCUUUGAGGGACUGGAGAGGAGACUGGAAUUUACGGUGUAGCGGUGAAAAUGCGUAGAUAUCGUAAGGAAGACCAGUGGCGAAGGCGGGGUCUCUGGACAGUUUCCUGA